AACGAACGCUGGCGGCAGGCUUAACACAUGCAAGUCGAGCGCCCCGCAAGGGGCGCGGCCGACGGGUGAGUACCGCGUGGGAACGUACCUUUUGGUUCGGAACAACUCCGGGAAACUGGAGCUAAUACCGGAUAAGCCCUAACGGGGAAAGAUUUAUCGCCGAAAGAUCGGCCCGCGUCUGAUUAGCUAGUUGGUGAGGUAACGGCUCACCAAGGCGACGAUCAGUAGCUGGUCUGAGAGGAUGAUCAGCCACACUGGGACUGAGACACGGCCCAGACUCCUACGGGAGGCAGCAGUGGGGAAUAUUGGACAAUGGGCGCAAGCCUGAUCCAGCCAUGCCGCGUGAGUGAUGAAGGCCUUAGGGUUGUAAAGCUCUUUUGUCCGGGAAGAUAAUGACUGUACCGGAAGAAUAAGCCCCGGCUAACUUCGUG
rnacentral:rRNA from 1 species